UUGGCUCAGGAUGAACGCUGGCGGCGUGCUUAACACAUGCAAGUCGAGCGGGGAUAAGCUGAAUGAGAGCUUCGGCAGGAUUUUGGUAUAUUCCAGCGGCGGACGGGUGAGUAACGCGUGAACAAUCUGUCCCAGACAGGGGGAUAACACUUGGAAACAGGUGCUAAUACCGCAUAAGACCACGGCAUCGCAUGGUACAGGGGUAAAAGGAGCGAUCCGGUUUGGGGUGAGUUCGCGUCCGAUUAGAUAGUUGGUGAGGUAACGGCCCACCAAGUCGACGAUCGGUAGCCGACCUGAGAGGGUGAUCGGCCACAUUGGAACUGAGAGACGGUCCAAACUCCUACGGGAGGCAGCAGUGGGGAAUA
rnacentral:rRNA from 1 species